GGUUUCACAUGGCAUUACGGGGAACGCAGGGCACGGCACGCACAUGGGUUUUAUUUGUCCUCCUCCCCCAGCUUCUGCUUUUCACGUAAACGUUGAUCAGAAGUAAGCAGGACACGGAAGAAUAGGUGGGUCGCGACAACCUACUCGCACGACUUAGAUACCUGAAAGAAAACAGGACGUUUGCCCCAAACGCUCCCAUGCGGCACCAAGGGGAGCACAGCCCCCCCCCGGGAAGUUCUCCCGGGAAGGCGAUCCCAAAUGCCGAGUCCGUCGCGCUACUCAGAGAAGAGCGAUUUUCGCUCAGCUUUCACCUCCGUGACGACAUUCCUGCUGCUGUUUCUCCUCCUGCUCACGGCUGCCUUCAGUCCGUCCGUGCUUUGGCAUCCCAGCGCAGGGACGCGCGCGUGCACCGCUUUGGUGCUCUGCGUUGUGCCAGCUCACCAUUACGGAUAAAAUUACCAACAUCAUUAAAGGCUUUCAGUGAUUAUCUGUGAAGUUCUGCCUCUUGCUGCCAGCUAGUUCAGGAAAUUCAGUAAAUCUCAUGAAUCAAGCUACACGAUGAUUUACUAACACUGUUACCCGGCGGCCGGCGGUAAACGUACCAGCUCGCUCUGCAAUGGGAUUUGGCCAGAGCUGUAAAUUUCUGCUGGGAUGUGGGAGCAUUUCUGGCUUUGCCUGGUAGGAGAUAGUAACUAUCCACAUGGAGAUUAAUUGGGGGGGGGGGGGGGGGGGGGGGGGAGGGAGCAAGAAGAUAAGCAUGAUUGUUUAGAAAAUGACCAUUUCUUAAUUUACAUUACCUCGGAUGACAAUUGUGCUAGAGGCACAGCUUAUGAAGCUGCCACAGAAGCAACGCGUUGGGAGUCAUGUGCUGCAACACACGCAAUCCUGCAGUCGAAACCCAAGGAAGCGACACAGCGGAUCACCAGCCGUGCCAAGCGUUCGUCCCUCCCUGGGACUCGUGUUGCGGACCCCCGAAGGGGUCCUGGGUGCGUGGGGCUGAGCACCGCAAAUCAGAAAUCGCCCACCGUUAUCCUCAGCUCCCUUUCAAACCCAGCAGAAAACGUGGCGCUUAAGCAUCCCAGACACAACAGUUGUGUGGCAUAGGGAAGUGUUACUUGCUUUAUAUUGCAUAUGGGAAAGGGAACGUGACACAGCUUUACAAAUAAACCUGAGUGUUGCUGUUAAUUACCUACGACGACAAACUUACUCCAAUAUGAGGAGUCCCAGCAUUUUCCCAGUGAGUAACUCCCACUGUGGAAGCACUCGGGAGCCUUAGUUUUCUCAAUCAAGGGGAAAUCAACUCAGCAUUUUUAAGUCCCUCUGGAUGAAGGGAGACGUUCAGGGACUGGGAGCCGCUGCUAGCCACACAUACCUGGGAAAGGUUAGGAUAAUUGCAGGGCAAACUGGCUUCUUUGGCUUACAUUUAGGCAAGAAGCCAAAGGCAGCUCUAAAUCGUGCUAUAAGGCAUAUUCAGUUCAAAACCAGACUUGCAAAAUUUUUAAUGAAACUAACCAUCCAUACAAUUGGUGACUGUUUAACAUCAAUGCAGUAGUGCAAAGGAAAGGAAUUCUUUUAAGAGAAUGAGAUGAUUUUUGAGCAAUUUGUUGUCGUCUGUAACUGGGAUGUCGACAU